GGGUGGCCUGAAUGGUAGGGAAAGCGAGCCAAGCGUUGUGGGUUCAACUCCCACUCACCCAACCCCA
rnacentral:tRNA from 1 species